UAGAGUUUGAUUAUGGCUCAGAACGAACGCUGGCGGCAUGCCUAACACAUGCAAGUCGAACGAGACCUUCGGGUCUAGUGGCGCACGGGUGCGUAACGCGUGGGAAUCUACCCUUGGGUUCGGAAUAACAGCGAGAAAUUGCUGCUAAUACCGGAUGAUGACGUAAGUCCAAAGAUUUAUCGCCCAAGGAUGAACCCGCGUAGGAUUAGCUAGUUGGUGAGGUAAAGGCUCACCAAGGCGACGAUCCUUAGCUGGUCUGAGAGGAUGAUCAGCCACACUGGGACUGAGACACGGCCCAGACUCCUACGGGAGGCAACAGUGGGGAAUAUUGGACAAUGGGCGAAAGCCUGAUCCAGCAAUGCCGCGUGAGUGAUGAAGGCCUUAGGGUUGUAAAGCUCUUUUACCCGAGAUGAUAAUGACAGUAUCGGGAGAAUAAGCUCCGGCUAACUCCGUGCCAGCAGCCGCGGUAAUACGGAGGGAGCUAGCGUUGUUCGGAAUUACUGGGCGUAAAGCGCACGUAGGCGGCU
rnacentral:rRNA from 1 species